GGGAUCCAUCCCCAAAUCCAUCCCCAAACUCAACUCUCUGCUGCGGCACGACGGUGGGGUUGGGGGAGGGGUGGUGCGGCGGCGGCACGGCGGUGGGGUGGGGUGGGGCACCGGCGGUGGUCGGCAGCAGCGCCACCUUUCCACGUGAUUCACGGCAACACGAAUCAACCCCCAUGCUGCUCCGGUGACGUCGAGGCAUCUGCGAACGGCGGCCUCGAUUCGCCGAUUGCUCCUCCAGCAUCCACUGAAUUAAGGUCAUUCUCUCUUCUUGAUCCCUGCUAUAGUUCGUGUAUGUUCUUCCGUGGAAUGUGCUUGGUUUGAACAAUUUGGGGGCUGAGAUGAACUAGGGUUUUGAUGCCACCAACACUGACAACUGCAGAUGAACUAGAGUUAGUAUUCCGUCGGUGUUCUUGUAGAGACAGCUACAGCUUCCUCUUCUUGUUGUUCUUCUUGUCCUUCCCUCCACUUGGGCCUGGCCCCUCAUCGAUUGGCCAACAAAAGGUAGUAAUGGUGUCCCUCCAUUACUGCUGUUCUGUAAGGUUAUGAUGAGCUACCCACUGAUGUGGAGCAACCGGCGGCGUCUGCAGCUGUUACUGUUGUGUUAUUCAUCGAUGGGAGGAUCGUGCGUAGAAUUGAUGUUGCUGCUGCCGGCCUGCCGUCGUGCUUUAUGUUCUCCAUUAUCUUGCAUAUUGCAUUAGAAUGAUGGUGAGAUGUGGGUCUGGGGUCUGGGGUUCAGUACAAAGUUCGAUCAACGGCGUUCAUGGGUGCCAGCUUAUUUUAGUGACAUACCUUUGUCAGGAUUGUUAAGGACCACCUCAAGGUCAGAGAGUGCCAAUUCAUUCUUUUCUCGUCUAAUUGGGCGGAAGCUUGCUUUGGUGGAGUUUUGGCUCAGGUUUGAUGCUGCACUAGAAGAACAAAGACAUAAGGAACUAGAAGAAGAUAACAUUACGCUCCACACAAUCCGCAAUUUGAAGACAGAAUGGGUGAUAGAGAAGCAUGCAAGUGAGUUCUUCACACAUGAGGUAUUUAGCAUAAUUCAGAAAGAGGUGCUAGCUGCCAGGGACCGUUGCCUUAUUGACAAUGUGCAACAAGAGGGCUAGGUCAAAAUCAUUGAUAUCAUUGAAGAAUCCAGGAAGCCAAGAGUUGUGCGUUAUGAUAGACAGACAAUGGUUGCAACGUGCACAUGUAUGCUAUUUGAAACUCAUGGUAUACCAUGUCGUCAUCUAAUUCCAGUCCUAAGAAGUGCCCAGCUAAGUGAACUGCCGAGAUACUAUUUAUUAGAAAGGUUUAGGAAGGACUGCAAGAAGACACAUGUGUUCGAUGCAGAUGGUAUCUUGUUGGAAGAAAACACAAGCAACAGUAAUGAUCCUGUGAUGCAAAAAAUGCUUUCAGAAGCAUGCAACCAAAUGGAGAAGCUUAUCCUACAAGCUAAGCAAUCAGCAGCAGCUAUGCAACUUUUGAGGGAUGAACUAGUUGUGCUUGGUGAUAAAUUAAAUGAGAUGGUUCCUGAAAAAGAGCUUAGCCAAAUUGAGGAAUUUGAAUCAUAUCUUGGAUGUAGCAUUCCAAGUCAAAUUGAAAUCCACCCGCCAAAUGACACUCGUUCCAGGGGUCGGAUAAAGAGAAUUAAAGGGCACAAUGACAAGGAGAAAAAGCAAAACAAGAAGAUAAAGAAAAAAGAGAGAGUACCACAAAGGUGCAAGAAGUGCAAACAAGUCGUGCUGCACGAUUCGCGCAACUGUCCUAACAAAGAACCACAACAGUGAUGCAAGUUUGCUGGGUGCAGGUUUUUUUUUGCUGAGAGCAGCUGGCGAGAAUUCUUUUGCUGAGAGUAGUUUUUUGUUCAAAGUAGAGCCACUGCCAUCAUCCAGUGCACACGUGUGUGAUCUAUUAAUAGAUUUUAGCCAUUUAAUAGCAAGGUUGCAUUUUGAUUAGACAACACCUUGAAGGGGAUAACUAAUAUUUGUGCACAAGUGUUGUAACUUAUGAAUGUUAUUACCUGCCAAAACUCUGUGGGAUCUAAAUUGUGUCAGCAGAAGACAUCUGAAUAUCAGACCAUGUCGGUAUACAUUGAUGGACUAGGUUGACUCUGCCAAUUGUUUGUGGCCACAAUCUGGACCUAUGAUUUUCUAGGAAAAUCCUAAAUAUACUUGAACUGGAUAAAUUUUCUGUGUGCUGUAUUUUUCUACUUGAACUAGUAAUUUUCUGCA